ACGACUCUCAAUAAUGGAUAUCUCAGCUCUCGCAUCGAUGAAGAGCACAAUGAAAUACGAUACGUGGUGCGAAUUGCAGAAUCCCGCAAACCAUCGAGUCUUUGAACGCAAGUUGCACCCGAGGCCAAUCGACCGAGGGCACGUCCGCCUGGGCAUCGAGC
rnacentral:rRNA from 1 species